UUUGUGUAUCAGUCAUGACGUACAACAUAAAGUAGUACAAAAAGUGAUAUGUGUCAAGCUGUGUAACUGAUUUGAAGACUGGAACUGGAGCCGAAUUAGAGCACCUCCAACAAUAAGAACUCCAAAAAGUUUCAAAAACAAAAAAGUAUUAAUAUUUUAGUAAACUAUAAUUAGAGAAUUAAAAGUUAAUUUUAAAAUAAAAAUUCAACCACUGUAUUGGUUACAAGUGUUUUGUGGAUAUAUAGUGGGGUUUUAAAAAUCAUGAUAUAAGAACCUUUUCCAUUCUCUCUCCUAAUUUUAUUUCUUUUUCUUAAAAUGUUUAGAAUCCCUCCUAAAACCAUGGUUCGAGGGGUUCGUAGAGGUAAACUAAAGAUUAUUUGAAGGCUAAGCAAUGUAUAGUUUAUCUUGGAAAGGGAUAAAUCAUCAAGGAAAAAUUUUCAAAAGGCUUUGUACGAGAUUUGGAAAUAUUCGAUAAAAGAAUAUUUACGAAUAUCUCCUCCUUGAGUAGCAUGAAAGGGUGAGCCAUGAAAUCUACUAGUAUAAAUAGAGAGAGACGUGCCUUGUGUUAUGUACGAUGUACCACCACAAAAAAAGGACCGUAAGCAUAAGGGUUUCAGUGUGUCUCACAAAAUAUAAGGGAUAGGGGUCAUGAAGGGGUCAUGAAUUAGUUUGAUCCUUGAACGUGUCUCACAAAAUAUACAGCGACACAUCUAAAAUAUAUAACACUAAUCAUGAAAAAUGAAUAUCAUUGUAUAAAAAUGUAAAAAUCAAUAUCCGCGCAGGUGCUUAAUAAUUAAAACAACAAAAACAACUGAUAUACCUAACCAAACCACAUCAUAUUACAUGCUUUCCAUAUCUAGGUGUAGUACCAGUCUCAACCCGUCCCGCCCUGUUCUCUUUUUUUAAUUUAUGAUUUUU
rnacentral:lncRNA from 1 species